rnacentral:rRNA from 1 species
UACGAAGGGGGGCUAGCGUUGUUCGGAUUUACUGGGCGUAAAGCGCACGUAGGCGGAUCGUUAAGUGAGGGGUGAAAUCCCAGGGCUCAACCCUGGAACUGCCUUUCAUACUGGCGAUCUCGAGUCCGGAAGAGGUGAGUGGAACUCCUAGUGUAGAGGUGGAAUUCGUAGAUAUUAGGAAGAACACCAGUGGCGAAGGCGGCUCACUGGUCCGGUACUGACGCUGAGGUGCGAAAGCGUGGGGAGCAAACAGG